rnacentral:lncRNA from 1 species
GGGGCCUGGGCUCCUUGGAGGACUUGCUGGAGGAGAUCUGCUAGGUCAACGUGAGCCUGAGGGCUGGAACCUGCUCGUCAUAGGGGCCUCAACAGCCGCCCUGUGUGUUGCCGAUGAGGCGGGGUGAGGACCAUGUGUUUUGGGAAAUGGAGGGUGAGGCUGAGGACUGCCUGCUUCUCAGAAGUGCAAUGGACUUAGCGUGCAAGUGGCAGAACCAGCUUCCAUUUCUAGACAAGAUUUUAUGACUGGGUGGCGAGACACUGGGCCCCGUCUGGAUGGGUGCUGUGACCCUGUCUGGAGACGGUAUCCGUUUGCCUGCUCCGGGAAUUGAGGCACGAACCUCCAUGGGGACCCAGAAUGUGACUUGUCAUGUGCUUUUUAAUACCCAGGAGUUCUGUGAUUAGUAGGCAUCGACAGGAAUGCCAACUUCAGAUAAGAAGAGCUGCCGCAAACCCAACCAGAAUUGGAGAUGGAGGUUUCAGGGGAGCCUUUUUCCCUGUAAGAGCAUCAUGAUAUGAAUUCUUCUGCGUUGCUGCGGUGAAUCGGUGCCAACACAUGCCCAGCAUUGCCUGCGAGCUGGAAGCCGCAGGGGGUGGCUAUUCUGCAGUCAGCUGCCUUCAGGGGCGGGCCUCGUGGUCCAGGAGUUCAUGGCUUCCCGGGAAAUCAGGCAGUCCUGCGUUGCUGUGCAUAGGCCAUUCGUGACUCUUGAAACGUUUAAAUAUGUCAUCCUAGAAAAGAAACAUACCCUGUGUUCCCCAGUGAGUGAGCAUUUCUGAGAUGGCAUCAUGGUUCUUUUAAAAGCUGAAAAUGAUCAAGUGCCCUGAGAAGACAUGAGUGGAUAGAAGGUAUGAUUGCAGUUUCCAAAAGCAUGCUCAGCCUGGGAGCCUGAGGGAUUUCAGUGCAGUUGGCAUGCUUUCACUUUCUGUGGUCAUGAGAUCUUCAUACUUCAGAGUUCACAGUGCUUUCUGAAUACCAAAGGCAAAAGAUAUUUCGAGUAUGUGUUGAAUGGUUUCAAAUCCACAGAUUCUUUGGGGUCCCCUUUGUUCAGUUUUAGAGUGCUCCCAGCUCCCUAUUUGGAAAGGAUUUGGAGAAAGGAGUCCCUGGAUGCCGGGAGCUCCUAGAUGUCACCGGAGAAAUAUUUCUCUCUUGUGACAGCUUAAUAAUAGAAGCACUUUGCAUUCACACAUUCAUGCUAAACUUAACUAUGUGGUCAUGGCUUGGUCUCGGAAGAUGAGGUAUUUUACCUGUGAAGGAGCAGGGUAGAAACGAAGCUAUCUGAGGAAUGCAUGUGAGGUGGCCCAGCACACUCCUGGUACUCUUGGUGGGAACAUUUGGUCCCACUCAUUAUCAGGCCAAACCGUGUCUUAAAAUAGGCUUACCAUGUGGUCCUCUAAACUAGGAGAGAGUCAAUCUAAGCAGCUGAGACCGAAAAUAUUUCUCAGGUUGAUCUUUUGAAUCGGUGUGGUGGACAAACUUUAUGGCAGAGUACCAGAAUGUUGCCUGCAUCCUGUUACUAUGGAAACAAUCAUCCAACUACAUAGUCUCUGCAUAUUUAUGUGUGGGUGUCAGCCUUGGGGACAAAACCAACUAUUUGCUUUUACUUCGCCCUGCUAGAACUUUUGAAAAGAGUAUUCCUGGAGUUCCCGUUGUGGCUCAGCAGAAAUGAAUCUGACUAGCAUCCAUGAAGACGAGAGUUUGGUCCCCGGCCUCACUCAGCGGGUUAAGGAUCUGGCGCUGCCAUGUGCUGUGGUGGUGUGGGUUGCAGACAUGGCUCAGACCUGAUGUUGCUGUGGCUGUGGCAUAGGUCUGAGGCUACAGCUCUGAUUCAAGCCCUAGCCUGGGAACUUCCAUAUGCUGUGGGUACGACCCUAAAAAAAGCAAAAAAGAAAAAAAAAUCCUAAACCAUUUAGAAAAUAUACUUCUUUCUUUUCCCUUUAUUCUUCAGUAUUUUUUUUUUUUUUUUUUGCCUGUUUGCCCCUGUCAUCCUGUUCCCCAGGUUUCAUAUAUGUUUGGUAUUGACUUAUCUCCCAUGUGCUGGGCACCUGUGCUAAGCACUUCCAUGUUUUGUUGCUGCUGAUUUUCUUGGGAGGUAUAUGAAGUCAGUUUUACUAAGUGCAUUUUACAAAUGUGGACAGUGAGGCUUUCCUGCUCUUCCUCAUCUGGGAAGGAUAAGAACCAGUGAUGCCACUCAGGUCUCUGAUGUUGGAAGGCUCGUUCACAGCCUCACUUCUAUGGGACCUUCUGGAGAAGUAACGGGAGGCCCUCAGGACUCAGGUGUCCUGCCUGGACGACAUCCACAGCCCACUUCCAGGAGGCUGAAUGUCGACACCAGCCGGGGGAGCUGCUUCCCUGGCCAGCCCUCUCCUCUUCCUCCUGUGUCGCAAGGACAUGCCCCCAGGCUCCUGGAACCAGGGCAUAUCAGAGUUUAUUUUGCAGUUGCACUUUGGGGAAUUAUGGGAUGCCCGAGGCAGUUCCUGGAAAUUGAUUUUCAGGAGUGCAGCUGUGCCAGUGAGUGGACUUUGGGUGGGGGGAAUGUUGGUAUUGCGGCGGGGUGUCCCAGGCUCCCUAGAAAUGGAAGAGCAUCCUUAGGAAAGCUGAUCCCACCCAGGGUCAAGCAGGGUCAGGACGGCUCAAACCUAACGAUGCUAUAGGUCAGGGAGGGAGGAGCACUGUGUCUCCCAGGCCCUGGUUUUCCUUUGGGGUGGAACCAAGCCCUAAAGACACCGUGAAACUGGGUUUGGGGAGAGAGCAGGGUGUCUUCUCCUUAGUGGGAAGAAGGUUGGUCAGGAUCCUUAUUGCAAGUGCUAGGUCAGGCCGAUGAUUUGGCCAAUACCUUUCACACUCAUUUGAGUUUCAAAUGGUGUCUUAGAACAUGGAAAGUUCAGCCAAUGUCACUGUGUUUCAGAGGCCAGAAAGGCAGUGGUCAGCAUACAGAUGAUCAUGGGGAUAGUGGGUUCUCUAUACUUAGUGGGACAGAGUUUCAAAAACACAUCCUGUGGACCAAAACCCCUGGGGGCACUGGGGCAGCUGGGAAAAGGGAGAUGAUGGCUAAAGCCAUCCUUACUGUGGUCUUGCUGGGCACAAGGGCUGAAUGUUAGCUUGAUGAAUUUUAUUGGAUCAUUCAAGGGGUCUCCAGGGCUUGACGUCACCAGACCUUCUGUUCCAUGAGGGAGGCUCACCCAUUCAUCCAACAAAUAUAGCUUGGUCCAUGUGCCAUGGUUGCAGGUGCUACAUGCUGUGUGCCAUGCAGAGUUGUGGGUGCUGGGGACACAGCUUUGAGCAGAACAGUCCCUUCCAGAAACAUUUUAGGCUUUGGGGGCUUGUGUGGUUGCAGCUACUCAGCUCUGCAGAAGCAUCCACAGACAUGGCACUCAGGCAGUGGGGUGGCCGCACCCUGGCACACAUUCAUCUACCAAACCAGGUGGCCAGCCUGUCUGUAGGAUGACCCUUGCCCAGGGUCAAGUUCUGCCAAGUUCAUUUUUUUCUCAAUGCCUUUUGCAGAAUAUCUCUACUCCUGAGCUGAUUUUAGAGGAUCCUGCCCCAAUCCUUGUCACCUCAUCACUUUGCAGGAGAGGUCAGGACAGCAGGGUGUGCUGCCGGAAGACACCCCCUGUUAUGGGCUGAGUCAUGUCCCCCCAGCUGCUGUGUCAAAGUCCCAACCCCUAAGACCUCAGACGGUGACUGUACUGGGAGACAGGGCCUUUAAGAAGUGAUGAAGUGAAAUGAGGCCGUUAGGCUGGUCCCUAAGCCAGUGUGGCUGGUGAACAUAUAAGAAGAAGAGAUUAGGGCACAGACAUACAUGGAGGGAAGACCAUGUGGGGACAGAGGGAGGAGGCAGCUGUCGACAAGCCAAGGAGAGAGGCCCUGGGAGGAACUAGCCCUUGCUAACGAACACAUUGAUCUUGGGCUUCCUGCCUGCAGGACGGUGAGAAAAUAGGCUGAUGCUAUUUAAACCAUCCAGUCUGCAGCCCUGUGUGGCAGCCCAAACUAGCAGACCUGCCUUAUCUCAGGUGCCGCACACUCCAGACGGUCAGGGCAGAAUGCAGGUGAGACACUCAUCACCAGGCGGUCCUUCCAGAGCUGAGGAAGCCCCAGUGUUCCUUCCUCUUCCUCUUUCCUUCAGGGCCCUGGAUGGAUGCUCUGCUAGCUUAUCAUCUCCUUCUGAGAAAGUGAUCCCUGGAUGGUGAAAAGAAACAGUUUAGAGAGAAAGAGUUUGCAGAGAUGAGGAUAAAAGGAAAACAUCCCUCCCAGCCUCCGUGAGGUGGAAAAUAGGCAUUAAAAUCCGGGUGCAAAAUGAAACCCUUAUAUUUUUCACUGGGGUCACUUUCUCAAGGAAUGCCCUGGGCUGGGGGAGAGCCUCAGACAUUGCUCCGGUAGGGGGGUGGGCAGACAUCCUGCAGGAGAAGCACUGGAGCUGGGUCUUGGCGUCAGAGAAUCUGAUUGCCCCCAAUCUGGAGUCAUUAGAGACGCAAACAGCUGGCCAUUGAGUUUUCCGCUGUGUGGGCCUCCAGCCCAGGCAUUCCUUGAGAGCAGUGUAGUAGCCCUCUCAAGAACAAAUAUCUAUUCAGUGCCUCCAGGGUUACCAAGUUUGAGAAUCGAAUUUAUAAGCUGUUCCUGUAAGUAGAAGUUCGAGACCUGGGAGGCCCUCUGGGCAUCUGACUCUGAGACAUUGGGCCCCAGGUGAAGAGACCCUGCCAGCACAGUGUGGCUCUCUCUCUCUCUCUCUCUCGUUUUUUUUUUUUUUUUUUUUUGCUUUUUAGGGCUGCACCGAAGCAUACAGAAGCUCCAGGCUAGGGGUCAAGUUGGAGCUGCAGCUGCCAGCCUACUGCACAGCCACAGCAAUGCCAGAUCCGAGCCACGUCUGUGACCUACACCACAGCCCACAGCAGCACCGGAUCCUUAACCCACAGAGAAAGGCCAAGGAUCAGGCCCGCAUCCUCAUGGAUGCUAGUCGGGUUUGUUACUCCUGAGCCACAAUGGGAACUCCAAGAUUUAGUAUUUUAAGUAAAAAUUCAUUCAUUUGGUUGACCAUAAUAGCAAGAGAGUUUCAGUACCGCGAUUGCUCACAGAGCCCCGCUUGGCGAGGGUCCCACAGGGACAGGCGGGAGACCUGAUGGAGGCUGUGGUCUAUAAAACUGGUUGGAGGGAGGACUGGGUACAAGGGGCUGAGCGGGGACUUGAGGGAUUGGAAAUCUGUGGAGAAGCCUUGAGGGGAGAGCACGCCCGGGACCCACUGACCCGAAGGUGUGAUCACGCUUCUCUGGCUCUUGGCAAAAGUAAAGUCAGGGGACAGUGGCUGCCAAAACUUUGGGUGGGUUUUGUGAUAAGGGGUGACUCCAGAGCCUGAGGACCAGGAUGCAGUGGGCAGUUCAUGCUGGCCGUGUCCCACUAUCCCUCCUCCGGGCCCCUUUAGCUAUUUUGCUAAGCGUGCCUCACUGUACUUGGCUAAGAGCAGUGUACAGGGAAACUAAGCCAGAGCACAUUUUAUUUUGCAGCCUGGCCUUUUAAAUUUCUUCUGGAAAAAACUUCCUACCGACAGGCCUGGCCAGGGACAGAGGCAUGUUCUGUGCAGGAACAAUGGUUGCAUUUUCCCUGGGAAACAACAUGGGGAUUGCAGGCAGCUUAGCUCUGGCAGGGCCCCCUUCCCUAGGCAGACGUGCCCGCUUGGCCGGGCUCUACACCGGGGCUGUCUGUCCAGCACCCCCCAGUCAGGAAGGGAAAGAUCAGGAAGCAGGCCGACCUGCCGGCUCCAUGCAGGUCCACAGUUAGUCUGUGCUCCAAGACCUUGACUCUGGCCACUUGGCUACCUUCCCUGGUGAGGGCACAUCCUCUAAGCCCGAGAGGGUGAGCAGCAUUGGGAGAGAGGCAGGGAUGCAGGGUUAGAAACCGCUUAGCAUCUUAGCCUUUCUCAGUGGGAUAGAAACCACAAAGAAGAAACACUGUUGCCAGGGCCAGGCUGCAAACACCCAGUGGAAGGAGCAGGCUGGGAGGAACAGAUGAUGGCCACAUUCCUGGCUCCCAGGGCAUCAGCUGCAUCAAGAGUGUGAGAUACUGGGGACCUGAGAGCAGAAAGAAAGUCAAGGCAGAAUUUGGUCCUGAGAUGGCUACCUGGUUUCAGUUUGGUUGGCUUUACCAGUUUCAGUUUCUUCUCUCAUUUUUCUGUUUGUACCAAAGUAAUAUCUGCUCAUGGUUUAAAAAAAAUAGGAAAGAGAAAAAAAAAAAAAAAAAAAAAAAG